GGCGAGUGAAGAGGGAAGAGCCCAAGAUUGAAAGCUGGCGUCUUCGGCGUCCGCAUUGUAAUCUCAAGAAGUGUUUUCCGCUUCGGACCAUGCCUAAGUCCCUUGGAAAAGGGCAUCAUAGAGGGUGAUAAUCCCGUACAUGGCAUGGAGCGCCCGAGGCUUUGUGAUACGCUUUCUAAGAGUCGAGAUGUUUGGGAAUGCAGCUCAAAAUGGGUGGUAAAUGCCAUCUAAGGCUAAAUAUUGGGGAGAGACCGAUAGCGAACAAGUACAGUGAUGGAAAGAUGAAAAGAACUUUGAAAAGAGAGUUAAACAGUACGUGAAAUUGCCAAAAGGGAAGGGUAGGAGGUCAGAGAUGCGUCUUGGGAUUCAGCCUUGCUUCUGCUUGGUGUUUUUCCCAAGUUUGCAGGCCAACGUCGGUUUUGGGCACUGGAGAAGGGUGGAAGGAACGUGGCACCUCUCGGGGUGUGUUAUAGCCUUCUACUGGAUACAGCGACCGAGACCGAGGACAGCAGCGUACUCGCAAGAGCGGGCCUUCGGGCACCUUUACGCUUAGGGCGUUGGCAUAAUGGCCCUCUACCACCCGUCUUGAAACACGGACCAAGGAGUCUAACAUGUAUGCGAGUCUUUGGGUGGCAAACCCAUAGGCGCAAUGAAAGUGAAUUCAGGUGGGAUCCGCAAGGUGCACCAUCGACCGAUCCUCACGUCUUUUAAGUCGUGGAUUUGAGUAAGAGCAUACCUGUUGGGACCCGAAAGAUGGUGAACUAUGCCUGAAUAGGGUGAAGCCAGAGGAAACUCUGGUGGAGGCUCGUAGCGGUUCUGACGUGCAAAUCGAUCGUCAAAUUUGGGUAUAGGGGCGAAAGACUAAUCGAACCAUUAGAAUGCGUAAAAACAUUUCUACUGUGUCUCAAAAUUGCAAAAGCAAACAAACUCGUAAUGGUGCUUCAUAGUGCAGUAACAGUUUGGCUAAACUCUCUCUUGGGAAGACAACAGUUCUUGUCGAAAUCUUCGAGCUAUUAGUCUAAGUCGAGAGGUCGGGGAGCAAAUCCAAACAAUUCUGCAACAUUAAACAUUUUGCGAGUGUGUCUGUGGGCAUUUUUGAAUGCGGCAGAGUGUGGAUAUAUUGCUAGGUGGUUAAGAGGUGGCUAAAAGGGCACACCUAGUGGGCGCUGAAGCUCGCGACACUGUCAAAAUGCGGGGACACCCUAAAGCUUUCAAUACCAAGCCGGCGUGGAAACACAGUCGGUGGCCGAGUUAACGACCCUGGGUAUGGUAAAAACUUGAAAGAUAUUACAAUGGGCAAUCCGCAGCCAAGCUCUAAGGGUCGUAAAAAGCCUAUGAGUGCAGUUCACAGACUAGAUGGCAGUGGGUUUCGUCUUUUUCGGAAGGCGAGGCUUAAGAUAUAGUCGGUCCUCUCUCGAAAGGGAGCCGGAGGAUAAAAGAUCGAGGUUCUUCAGCAACAGACCUCUUUCCAGAGCCUCUGGGAGUCA
rnacentral:rRNA from 1 species